UACAGAGAGUGCAAGCGUUAAUCGGAAUUACUGGGCGUAAAGCGCGCGUAGGUGGAUAUUUAAGUCGGAUGUGAAAUCCCUGGGCUUAACCUAGGAAUUGCAUCUGAUACUGGGUAUCUCGAGUGUGGUAGAGGGAAGUGGAAUUUCCGGUGUAGCGGUGAAAUGCGUAGAUAUCGGAAAGAACACCAGUGGCGAAGGCGGCUUCCUGGACCAACACUGACACUGAGGCGCGAAAGCGUGGGGAGCAAACAGG
rnacentral:rRNA from 1 species